ensembl:lncRNA
UGAUCUUCAUGAUCCUCUAAAGGAAGGAGAAUAGUGCCCAUUUUCCUAAUGGGAAAACUGAGGCAUGAACAGCUCAGUUGCUUACUCAAGGGCAAGAAAUUAGAUUUGUGACUCUCAUAUCUGGGGUGCAUUGUUUCAUAACACUGAGCCUGUCCUAAGACACAAAGAGUUUCCCAAGAUGUCCCCAAGCCUGGUGACAUGUGACCUUUCAUCCAGCCCUUUCACCCUAGGAUGCUGCCCAUGCCACCCUUAUCUACCCCAGGGCUGAAGCAAGGGCCCCAGACAUCCUGUAGUCAGCUGGCCUGGCCUGGGCUCUGGCUUCCUGUCCUCUGCGGCUCUCACAGGCACAUUUUGUCCCCUCUGAGGCCGGUUCUUUCUUCCUCUUUUAUCCUUCCUUCUUUGUCGCUCUUUGCUCACUGAGAGUCCUGUUUAAAUGCCUCCAUCCAUCUGUGUUUGCUUUUUACCUUUGUGUUCUGUAUGUCCCUUCUCCUGGGAAGUUUCCUAAGGUCCUCCGUGCCCUCUGCCCUUGACACCAUCUUGUUUUUAAGGAAGCAUCUUCCAUUUCUACCCCCACCCCCACUCCUCGCUUUGCUUCCAACUUGAGAAGAGGGGUCAGAUUACUCUGGUUCAUGCCGUCAGUGUGCACUUAAUGAAUGCCUACUCUGUGGCCCAGGAAUUGUGUUAGUGCCUAGGAUCUAAAGUCCAAAAGCUGUGCUGGAGCAUCUAUUAAGCACCUACUGUGUGCUUAUGCUUCAACCUAGGGACACGUAAGCUGGUCAUUGUCUUCAAGGAAUCUCCAGAUCAUGACUUCAAGCCCUGUCUCUGCGUUCUACCAGCAACAGCCGAGAAUGGGCGUAUCAUCCCCCUAAGCCUCAGUUUCAUCAUCAGCAAACAGGGAGAGUAAGAAUCCCAAUGGCAUAGGCUUGCCAACUGAGGAUUGAAUGAGGUCAUCUAUGUACGGGAAAUUCCUCGCCUCUGGACCGCACCCGCCCUUGAACACCUCCCGGUCUCUUUGGGCAGAGCGCAAGCCAGACAGAGCUGGGGACAGUGAAGUGGCCAUCCUCAGCCCUGUGUGUGCCAGGAGCCCCCCUCCCGGGGGGUGGGGGGCGGGUGGCCCCGCUGCAGGAGGGCAGGGGCGGCAGAGGGAGCCUGGCGUGGGCGGCUGGGACAGAGUCCUUUUUGAAGGAGGUGGGGACCCCGUGAAGUACGUGACUUCUGACCCUUCAGCCUGCACGCUCCAGUUAGCAGGACAGAGACCCCUCCCCAUGCAUCCCCAGCCUUCCCGGGCUUUCUGCCCUGCGGGGAGGCCCUGUCACCCCGCCCCCCACAACACCCC